GAUGUUCUUGUGCUGCAUCCCCAUAUCUCAAGUCUCCUGCUUCAGGAAUGGCAGGAGUGAGAGCCUUUCUUUUCCAACGAUGCCCUUGUAGGCUCAUCCCUCACCCCAGAUGUCUCUGGCCAUUUGACAGAAGGCCCCCCCAGGUACCACAGGACAGGAGUCACCAGGUAGACAUCAGGCCCCAGAUGGAGCUACCAGGCCAGGCCUCACCAGUGAUCCCACCAGGGCCACAUCUGCACAUUGUCCUUGUCCAGCUGGAGCCUCUGGAGCUCAUUGAGACACAGGCACAUGCUCCUGCUUCAGGUGCAGAAACACAGCUAUUUCCAGUGCCAGCUGUUGAGCCAGUGCCAGCACCAGGGGCAGAGCCCCUUCCAGGGACAGCGCUGGAGCUAGAGGAAGCUCCAGAGCCCUCCUGCCGCUGCCCUGGGACUGCACAGGACCAGCCCAGUGAGAAGCUGCCUGACUCCAUGGCACCUCCUGAGGUGCUGGAGAGCAAGAAAAGGAGCCUGUGAGCAGGGGUUCCAGCAGGUCCUCCGGCUCCCAGAGGUGACCUCCUCCUCCAGGAAUGGAGGUUUGCCCUCAGCUGGGCAUCUGGGCCAUUUGCCUCUAAUGUGCUGCCCAGGAUGGCCUCUUCU
rnacentral:lncRNA from 1 species